AACUCUUGCCGGGGUCGCGCCCUCCAAUGGGAAGAGAGCAGGCGCCGGCGGAACUGGAAGGGGCGGGGAAUGGAUGAAGCCCCUCCUACUGAAGAAUCCGACUGGCCAUCGGCUCCCGCGGAAAUCAAGGCCUUCUCCUGAGGCUCCUCCCCCCCUCCCUGCCAAGCCUGCUGCAAUAACUUCCGGAGACCGAGUGCAGGGGAUGGAAGCCUGGGCCUGAAGCAUGCUAGACAAUUGCUUUACCACCAAGGUACACAGUCAGCUCUCAUGCUGUUUUGAAUCAGUGGCUGGAUUCUAAUUCCCAUGGAACUAUUCAGAACUCUGGAAUAAGGUCAUGGCUACAGCUACGUACUUGGCUUCAAGAGAAUGAUAAAGACUUCAGUUUAAGGGUGGUUGUUAAGGUUUGGGAUCAGUGAUUCUUACCUCUUGGGCUGCACAUUAAAAUCUCCUGGGAGUUUAAAAAAAAAUUCUAAUGUAUAAUCCAUCCCCCAGUCUCUAUUGGAAUUUCUGGGAAUAGGGUGGCAUUCAGUUGUUCUAUGUAUUGUUAAUGUACUGCUUAGGUUGAGAAGCACUGCAACCUGACUUCUCGAAGUCCAUGCUAAAGACUCAUCAUCUUUGACAGGUUAAAUAAGAGAAUGUGUCCUGGACCAAACAAAUGUUCAACAAUAGGGGAAUGGAUAAGUAAACAGAAAGGUCACUGGGUGGAAUGCUAGAGACAAAUAACAACACCUUCAAAAAAUUAAGGUUGGAGCAGAAAAUGAUAAGUAAAAAAAGCAGGUUAAAAAUAUGCAUAUACUUUUCAGGAACAAAGAAAGACAUCAGCAGAUGUAUUGACUGAUCUUUGUUACAUUUAACUGGUAUGAUUCACCACCAUUUGUUAGGUAUGAAUAUGCAUCAUCUGUCUUCUGUAAGCUGGAAGAAAAAUACUGUUCUGAAUUUCCUGACUUAAUCCUAAAGAACAUUUUACUUUAAA